rnacentral:ncRNA from 1 species
AUAUGAGGCCCAGUUAGAGGCCUCACUAACCUGGGGAGGUUAGAUAUCCAUCCGGGUAGCGGACGCUCCGCCCCCUACUGGAGGAACGGCAUCCAGAGGCCGGGUUAUCAGCCCCGGUCGGAACCGUUUC